GGUUGAUCCUGCCAGUAACAUGCUUGUCUCAAAUACUAAGCCAUGCAUGUCUAAGCUUUAUUGUGAAACUGCGUACAGCUCAUUAUAUCAGCAAUUAUUUAUUUGAUGGUUCCUUACUACAUGGAUAACCGUGGUAAUUCUAGAGCUAAUACAUGCGCAAAGUCCCGACUCUCGCGGGGAGGGAUGUAUUUAUUAAAUUCAAAACCAAUGCGGGCUCUGCCCGAUAACUGAUCGAAUCGCAUGGCUUCACGCUGGCGAUAGUUCACUCAAAUUUCUGCCCUAUCAGCUUAGC
rnacentral:rRNA from 1 species